rnacentral:rRNA from 1 species
GCGGGGCAGCUUAGCCAUAAGUGAAACUUGACUUAGUUAAAGCUAAGAGGGUCGGUAAAACUCGUGCCAGCCACCGCGGUUAUACGAGAGACCCGAGUUGUUAGACACCGGCGUAAAGAGUGGUUAAGAUUGACUCAAAACUAAAGCCGAACGCCCUCAAAGCUGUUAUACGCACCCGAGGGUAAGAAGCCCAACCACGAAAGUGGCUUUAUCUUAUCCGAACCCACGAAAGCUAUGAUACAAACUGGGAUUAGAUACCCCACUAUGCCUAGCCAUAAACAUUGAUAGUAAACUACACCUACUAUCCGCCCGGGAACUACGAGCAUCAGCUUGAAACCCAAAGGACUUGGCGGUGCUUUAGAUCCACCUAGAGGAGCCUGUUCUAGAACCGAUUACCCCCGUUCAACCUCACCUUUCCUUGUUUUUUCCGCCUAUAUACCACCGUCGUCAGCUUACCCUAUGAAGGACUAAUAGUAAGCAAGAUUGGCACAGCCCAAAACGUCAGGUCGAGUUA